CGCACGGGUGAGUAACGCGUAGAUAACCUGUCUUCAUGUCUGGAAUAAUACGCCAAAGGGGUACUAAUACCGGAUAUUCUUGCUUUUCAUAAGUUAUGCAAGCAAAGGUGGCCUCUGCAUAUGCUACUGCAUGAAGAGGGGUCUGCGUACCAUUAGCUAGUAGGUGGGGUAAUGGCCUACCUAGGCGACGAUGGUUAGCGGGUCUGAGAGGAUGAUCCGCCACACUGGCACUGGAACACGGGCCAGACUCCUACGGGAGGCAGCAGUGAGGAAUAUUGCGCAAUGGGGGAAACCCUGACGCAGCGACGCCGCGUGAGUGAAGGAAGGCCUUCGGGUCGUAAAGCUCUGUCAAGAGGAAAGAAGUGUACAAUGGCUAAUACCUGUUGUAUUUGACGGUACCUCUAAAGGAAGCACCGGCUAACUCCGUGCCAGCAGCGGC
rnacentral:rRNA from 1 species